AAAAACACUAAAAAUACAACAAACAAGCAACACGCAAAAUAAACAGCAAGAAAUAAACAACAAAAAACAGACUCAGCAAGCAUGGAAACAGACAGAAGACAGAAGUUAAGCUAGGUUAGCAAACAACAAAAAUCAAACUAAAAAAAGAAAAACACUAAAAAUACAACAAACAAGCAACACGCAAAAUAAACAGCAAGAAAUAAACAACAAAAAACAGACUCAGCAAGCAUGGAAACAGACAGAAGACAGAAGUUAAGCUAGGUUAGCAAACAACAAAAAUCAAACUAAAAAAGAAAAACACUAAAAAUACAACAAACAAGCAACACAAAAAAUAAACAGCAAGAAAUAAACAACAAAAACAGACUCAGCAAGCAUGGAAACAGACAAAAGGAAAGACAGAAGCUAAGCUAGCAAAUGCAAGAAAAAUCAAACUAAAAAAAGAAAAACACUAAAAAUACAACAAACAAGCAACACAAAAAUAAACAGCAAGAAAUAAACAAACAGAACAAAAAAGAAACUGAAAAAACAAGCAAACAAACAAACAUGCAAAAAUAUAAGCAACAAGAAAAACGAAUCAAAAACAGAAAACUUAGAAAAAUAAACCAACAAAACGGGCAAGAAAGCAAACAAAAACAAAAACAAACUGUAAACACAAAUAACAAACAGAUCGAUCAAACUUUUAAAACAACUGAUUAGAAAAUACAGUUUAAAGGCAGAAUGAAUCAUUUCUAUUUGAACCAAACUUCAGCUGCUUAUUCCUGUUAGCUCUUAGAUUAGCUUAGCAUUUUAGCUUAGCAUUUUAGCUUCUUUAGCUCUUCUGUGAAACUCAACUAUUAAAUCAGUCAACAGCCAGUUCUGACAAUCAGCUGAUCAGUUUGAGUUAUUUUUUUAAAUUUCAAACAGUCUAAAUUCUGUGAAUGUAUUUUCUGUGAUGUGAAUAUUUUCUGGUUUCUUUCCUGUGACAGAAAACUGAAGAUCUUUGGAUGAAAUAAGGAACCUCUGAUUCACAUUUUCUGACAUUUUAGAGGCAGAAUAAUUCAUCCACAAUAAAUAUAAUGACUAGUUUCUGCUGUAAUUAAAACAUUUUCUACCUUUUUUUUCCUCCUCUGACAUCAAGUCUUCACCUUUAACUCCUUAAAUAUCUUUUUUUAGGCUCCAGAAGGAAGCAGUGAGGUUCAGACUUCAGUCUCUGUGGAUAAAAUCAUGUUCCUUAUAUCAGACGGUUUUAUUUCUGGCCACAGUCGAUGAUAAAAACUCCUUCAUGUGGUCCAGAAGCCGAGUGACCUGAACAGAAAGCAGCUGCUUUAAACGGCGUCUUCCUCCUAAAUGUGAGCGUGAGUUUGCAUUAAUGGGAGUUACUGUUGGUGAGACGUCAGGAUGUAGAGCUGUGGAGGGAGGAAACAAACCCACUGAUCUUUAUGAUGUUAAACCAUCAACAGCUUUGAUCCAGACUGAUAAAGAAACACAGAACGGCUCAUUUACGUCAAUUAAAGUAGAAGAAUUCUGUAACAAUGAACACUUUUCACCGGCUGAAACUGUCAGUUAUUGAAAAUUUUAUUAUUUCAAAGUUUCCUUCUUUCUAAAGAAUGAAGUUUUCUUCAUUCAGUAACAUGAAGUCAGACAAAAAACAACACAAAAUAUUACAAAAAACACGAGACACAAAAUGACAAAAAAUGAGACAAACGACACAAAAGAAAAGAGACAAAUAGCUUGACAAAAAAGACCGAAAAAAUGGACAAACGACAAAAACGAGAUGAAAACAACGCAUAAAGCAAAACACAAAAUGAGAAAAAUGAGAUAAAAAACACAAGUGAGACAAAAAGAAAACACAAAACAACAAAAACAUGAGACAAACGAUACAAGUCAGACAAAAAACAACAAAACAAGACAAAAAACAACAAAAACAAGACAAAACAACAACAAAACAAGACAAAAAACAACAAAAACAAGACAAAAUAUGACAUAAACAAGACAAAAAAACAACAAAACAAGACAAAAUAUGACAAAAAACAACAAAAACAAGACAAAAAACAACAAAAACAAGACAAAAAACAAAAACAAGACAAAAUACUACAAGAACGAGACAAUAUGACAAAAACAAGACAAAAAAACAAUAAAACAAGACAAAAAACAAUAAAAACAAGACAAAAACUACAAGAACGAGACACAAAUGACAAAAAAAAUUGACAAACGAAACAAAAAUGAGACAAAAAGUUUUAAAGCAUCAAAGAAAUGGACAAACAAUAAAAAGACAAACAAUGGCAAAAAUGACAAACAAAAUCAUAAAAACAGACAAGUGAGACAAAAACACGAAGCAAAUAAUAAAGUGAAACACGAAAUGUUUUUGUGAUUCUGCAUCUUUAUGUGAUGAUUCUUUCUACAUUAAUUUAACAUCUUUUCAGCUGAUUUUCUGUCCCUCUGUAGGGAUUUUGGUCCUUUUUGGGAUAAUUCUGGUCCUUUUUGGGAUAAUUCUGGUCUUUAUUUUGUUUUUUGGCAUGUUUUGCUGGCUUAUUUCAAUGUUUUAGGGUAAUUUUGACUCCUUUUCGUGUAACUUUGGAAGUUUUUGGAGCCAAAUUUGAAUUUUUGUUGGAAUUUCUCCUGUUUUGUGAUCAUUUUGAUUGAUGAUGUGAGCUGCAUAUUGAAUCUUUCAGGGUAGUUUUGGCUGUUCAGGCGGUGCUUUUAUGCCUUUUUGUGGUCAGUUUGGACCUUUUUGUGGUGAUUUUCCAGCUCUUUCAGUUGUUUCAGUUCCAUUUUUGCCAGAACUCUGAUGUUUCUCCUCCUAAAUGUCCUGGUUCUAUCUGCUGGACUGAUGAAGUUCUGAAAAAGUCCAUUAAAAAGUGAUAAAUCUGGACCCAUCUCUAUGGAACCCUGUAAAUAUUCCCAGUAUGAAGGUAGAACUCUGAUCAUUGAUGAAGUUGCUCUAGAUGAUUCUGAGGUUUUGUCGAUAAAAUAUCUCACAUUUCUAAGAAUUAAACAUAAGCUACUGAGACUUCA